GGGUCCGUAGCUCAGGUGGUUAGAGCGUUCCUCUGAUAAGGGAAAGGUCGAUGGUUCGAGUCCAUCCGGACCCACCA
rnacentral:tRNA from 1 species